UAGGGAAUCUUCCGCAAUGGGCGAAAGCCUGACGGAGCAACGCCGCGUGAGUGAUGAAGGUCUUCGGAUCGUAAAACUCUGUUAUUAGGGAAGAACAAAUGUGUAAGUAACUAUGCACGUCUUGACGGUACCUAAUCAGAAAGCCACGGCUAACUACGUGCCAGCAGCCGCGGUAAUACGUAGGUGGCAAGCGUUAUCCGGAAUUAUUGGGCGUAAAGCGCGCGUAGGCGGUUUUUUAAGUCUGAUGUGAAAGCCCACGGGUCAACCGGGGAGGGUCAUUGGAAGGCGGAAAACUUGAGUGCAGGAGAAGAAAGUGGAAUUCCAUGUGGAGCGGUGAAAUGCGGAGGGAUAUGGGGGAAAACCAGUGGCGAAGGCGACUUUCUGGUCUGUAACUGACGCUGAUGUGCGAAAGCGUGGGGAUCAAACAGG
rnacentral:rRNA from 1 species